AACGAACGCUGGCGGCAGGCUUAACACAUGCAAGUCGAACGCCCCGCAAGGGGAGUGGCAGACGGGUGAGUAACGCGUGGGAAUCUACCCAGAUCUUCGGAACAACUGAGGAAAACUUCAGCUAAUACCGGAUACGCCCUACGGGGGAAAGAUUUAUCGGCCCUGGAUGAGCCCGCGUUGGAUUAGCUAGUUGGUGAGGUAAAGGCUCACCAAGGCGACGAUCCAUAGCUGGUCUGAGAGGAUGAUCAGCCACACUGGGACUGAGACACGGCCCAGACUCCUACGGGAGGCAGCAGUGGGGAAUAUUGGACAAUGGGCGAAAGCCUGAUCCAGCCAUGCCGCGUGAGUGAUGAAGGCCUUAGGGUUGUAAAGCUCUUUCAGUGGGGAAGAUAAUGACGGUACCCACAGAAGAAGCCCCGGCUAACUUCGUGCCAGCCGCCGCGGUAACAC
rnacentral:rRNA from 1 species